AUGCCGCAGGGCGAGGGGAGCCCUCGGCACGUGCAAACCAGACCAGGGAGAAGAUUUACCUUUCUCAGCUGGUGCCUUGCUGCAGUGCAGAAACACCUACAAGAGGAUUCACUUGUGUGUGAGCCGUGGCAGGCUCAAGCCACAAGAUGUGGCCGUGGAGAACAAGGGACUUCAAAAGCUGGCCAAGAGGUCCCUGCUUUCCAGAGAGCUGGAUUUCUCCAGCCUGGCUUACGGGCUGAAUCUGGAGGACCAGAUUCAACAGUUUUCCAAAAUGUCUUUUUUUCCCCCUCUACCAUCCUAGAUUUCCUCCUUUCCCCCUCAAUAGAGAUCAAACCUCAAAAAGUCAAGUGUAUUUUAUCUCAGCAGCAGGACUGUGCAACUGAAGUAGAGCAUGGAGACGGGCCACACUCUCAUAGCUGGUGCCUCAAGCAACGCAUGUGGCAGAGAUCAAAUGUCCCCUUGUGACCCGCUAGAGCAGUUGGGCUUCACUGGGAUGAGGCAGGUCACAACAGUCAUGAUGAAGCACUGAAGUGCCUGGCUUAGAGGGAUGAUGUAUCAAUCACUCUUCAGAGCUCGAGACAGCCCUUCCACCAAAGAUGCACACCAAGAACAAUAGGUUUUGCUUUCUUGAACCUUCCCCUUGGUCAAAUCCUUCCUCAUGCACAGGGCUGACCCCAGCCAGGGAGACAUGCCCACGAUCACGUGGCAACAUCUCUUCUUGUAAAAUAAAUGUGCCUGGGACUGGUUCCUAGCGCUGAGA
rnacentral:lncRNA from 1 species